GGCUGUUCGCCCGUUAAAGCGGCACGCGAGCUGGGUUUAGAACGUCGUGAGACAGUUCGGUCCCUAUCCGUCGCAGGCGCAGGAGGUUUGAGGGGAGCUAUCCCUAGUACGAGAGGACCGGGAUGGACGUACCGCUGGUGUGCCAGUUGUCCUGCCAAGGGCAUGGCUGGUUGGCUACGUACGGCACGGAUAAGCGCUGAAGGCAUCUAAGUGCGAAGCCGGCCCCAAGAUGAGACCUCCCACCGUUCGCGGAUAAGACCCCUGAGAGAACAUCAGGUAGAUAGGCCGGAGGUGUACGCGCAGCAAUGCGCUCAGCCGACCGGUACUAAUCGGUCGAGGGCUUGAAUCGA
rfam:Actinobacteria bacterium RBG_16_68_21 RBG_16_scaffold_297, whole genome shotgun sequence.